UACGGGGGGGGCAAGCGUUGUUCGGAAUUACUGGGCGUAAAGGGCUCGUAGGCGGCCAACUAAGUCAGACGUGAAAUCCCCAGGCUCAACCUGGGAACUGCGUCUGAUACUGGAUGGCUUGAAUCCGGGAGAGGGAUGCAGAAUUCCAGGUGUGGCGGUGAAAUGCGUAGAUAUCAAGAGGAACACCUGCGGCGAAGGCGGGUUGCUGGGCCGACACUGACGCUGAGGCGCGAAAGCCAGGGGAGCGAACGGG
rnacentral:rRNA from 1 species